GACGAACGCUGGCGGCGUGCUUAACACAUGCCAGUCGAACGGAAAGGCCCCUUUGGGGGUACUCGAGUGGCGCACGGGUGAGUAACACGUGAGUAACCUGCCCUUGACUUCGGGAUAACUUCAGGAAACUGGGGCUAAUACCGGAUAGGAAUCCUUGCUGCAUGGUGGGGGUUGGAAAGCUUCGGCGGUUUUGGAUGGACUCGCGGCUUAUCAGCUUGUUGGUGGGGUAGUGGCUUACCAAGGCUUUGACGGGUAGCCGGCCUGAGAGGGCGACCGGCCACAUUGGGACUGAGAUACGGCCCAGACUCCUACGGGAGGCAGCAGUGGGGAAUAUUGCACAAUGGGCGGAAGCCUGAUGCAGCAACGCCGCGGGCGGGAUGACGGCCUUCGGGUUGUAAACCGCUUUCAGCAGGGGCGAAGCUUGUGGUGACGGUACCUGCAGAAGAAGCACCGGCUAACUACGUG
rnacentral:rRNA from 1 species